ensembl:lncRNA
UCAAUGGAUCGGAUUUAUGCUUGAAAAAUCAUCCAAAUAUGAAUCAUUUUAAUAAAUCUUUAAUGAAUAGAGGUCUCAUCUAUUAUUUUCUGAUUGCUUCUACUUUCCUACUUUUUUUUUUAAAGACAAAGUUCUUUUUUAAAAAUAAUGUAUUUAUUUAUUUUGGUCCUGCUGGGUCUUUGUUGCUCGUGCAGGCUUUCUCUAGUUGUGGUGAGCCAGGGGUUACUCUUCGUUGUGAUUCAUGGGGUUCUCAUCAGUGGCUUCUCUUGUUUCAGAGCACACACUCUAGACACGCAGACGUUAAGAGUUGCGGCACACAGGCUCAGGAGUUGCAGCUUGUGAGUCCCAGAGCUUGGGCAGCUUCCGGAGCUUAGUUGCAUGUGGAAUCUUUCUGGACCAGGGAUCGAACCCGUGUCCCGUACAUUGGCAGGUGGAUUCCUAUCCACUGUGCCACCAGGGAAGUCCCCUACUUUUUUUAAAGUGACAUUAUAAAUUAGCAUGAAGUUGAAAUGUCAAUUGGACUGAAGCAGAUAAACCUUUUGUUUUAAUUAAUAGAACUUAAUAGGGUGAUCCUGUAACAGCCCAAAGACCUCAUGUAUUAUGCUGAGUAAAGAAAGACUUUCUUCUUGCUCUUACAACAAAUGCUGUACGCUUGUGCAGUGCAGGAAUUCAAGUGCCACUGAGCUCUCCUGGUGUCCACAGCUACACGGCUGGUGCAGUUUGUGGUGCCCUCCUAAAGCCAGUCAGGGAUCCCUGCGGCUCCAGAUUUUGUCCUGGGGAGAAUCCUAGUCUGUGAAUCAUGUGUCAUAGUCUUGGAUCAGGAUAAUGCAUUCUGAUCUGUUUUGCCUCCUAAAGAACAGAACUGGGUACCUAGGAAAUUGUAACUUCUGCCUCUAAGCAGAGCAGAGAAGUCUGGACCCUAUUUGAAGCUUUUGUUCUUUGUUUUGGUCAGAAAAUUAUGUGUUUAAGGUACAGAAACAUAAUCCAUUGACCUCAAAUAAAAUGAGUAGGUAGUUAAUGUAAGCAUGCAAGUGAAAAUCUCAUGGACAAAGGGACACAGUCAAGGCAGGUGACCUGGAGAACUCAAAGGAGGUCAGGAGUGAAACUGACCUGGGUUAAGCCUGUCUCUGCAACUUACUAGUCAUAUAACUGUAAGCAAGUCAUUUUGUAACCCUAUAAACUCUUUCCCCACUAUACUGCACUGGGGAAACUACUGUCUUCUUCCCUCCUAACCUAUGAGGAUCCAAUGUUAUGGAAGAUGGCCAAGAAUGUUGGCUGGGGUAGAGUAGCUUCCCAACAGUAUGCUUUAAAUUGGCUCAAUACUUUAAGUAUGACUCAUGGGACACUCACAGGGCAUCACCAUUCCUAGAAAAUCCCAUGGACAGAGGAGCCUGGUGGGCUACAGUCCAUAGGGUUGCAAAGAGUCAGACAUGACUGAAGUGACUUUGCAUCCAUGUACACACAUAUGAAGUACC